UAAUUGAAGAGUUUGAUCAUGGCUCAGAUUGAACGCUGGCGGCAGGCUUAACACAUGCAAGUCGAGCGGUAGCACAGGGGAGCUUGCUCCCUGGGUGACGAGCGGCGGACGGGUGAGUAAUGUCUGGGAAACUGCCUGAUGGAGGGGGAUAACUACUGGAAACGGUAGCUAAUACCGCAUAACGUCGCAAGACCAAAGAGGGGGACCUUCGGGCCUCUUGCCAUCAGAUGUGCCCAGAUGGGAUUAGCUAGUAGGUGGGGUAAUGGCUCACCUAGGCGACGAUCCCUAGCUGGUCUGAGAGGAUGACCAGCCACACUGGAACUGAGACACGGUCCAGACUCCUACGGGAGGCAGCAGUGGGGAAUAUUGCACAAUGGGCGCAAGCCUGAUGCAGCCAUGCCGCGUGUGUGAAGAAGGCCUUCGGGUUGUAAAGCACUUUCAGCGAGGAGGAAGGUG
rnacentral:rRNA from 1 species